GCGGCGGGGCUCCUUUCUUCAUGGCUCCUCUGCUCCCGCCCGCCCAGAGUCUGCAGCCACCGCCUCCAGGCGCCUCCUUCCCACCCACCGUGCCCCCUCUCAGCGCCAGGUGAAAGGGGAGAACAGAAAGCAUUGUCUUUGACUCAAGGAAGUUGCCUUGCCUAGAGAAAUAUAAGAUAUUAUACUCCCUUUGGUGAUAGACAACUGAAUAAUACGAAGCUUGAAGCCCAGCCAUCUUGUUUCAAGAAAACAAGAGCCUGAGUUCAAACUUGAAUACUGUCACUUACUGUGUAACUUUCAGCAUAUUGGUUACACUUCAGACACCUCACUUUUUUCAUGUAUAAAACAGAAUUUCUCUAUGAACGGAAACAUCUGUAAUACCUGCACUGAGAAAAAUCCCACUAACAAAUUUAUGCCCUGAAGCUGAGUUUCUGCUAAACAGUUUAUUUAAUGCUUUUAUUAAAACCAAAACAGAAAUCAGGACAAGGACAUCUCCUCUGCCAAUUCCUUUUGGAAAAAAAUUAUUAUCCUUUAAAUUUCUUCUAGAAGGCCUGACUGAACAGGGAGUUCAGUUGAAGUCCAUAAUAUUUAGGAGAUAAUUUGCUACUCAGUCUGGGCCCUCAUAGUGAAUUACGUCUGCCUAUCAACUUUGCAAUUACAGACCCACAAUUUUAUCAACCCACCUAUGAAUGAAUGUACUC